GCAAAGAUACAAGCUGUGCGAAGAGAGGAAAGAGAGAAUAUACCUGUAGUGCGUGUUGAAGUUGAGGCGGGGCCAGGCGAGGCGAGGAAGUGCGCCUCUUCUCGAAGAUGAGGAUGAGGAUGAGGAUGAGGAUGAAGAUGAAGCGGCAGAGGCAACGAGGAUGCGGGGGUUAUUCGAGCGCCAGCGUGAAAUCGAGUUAAACUUGAAAUUAGAGUUGCUUCCUUGAUAUUAUAUAAGAAUAUUUGUCUUCACUGAAUUAAUUUAAUAUAAACUUGGUAAGUCUCUGA